AUCAAUUACAGCAUUAGUUACCCAUGUUUUCUGUUUCUAAAUACAUCCGGACUUUUGUUUUUAAUUAUUCAUUGAGACAAAGACUUAUUUUUUACCGGAGUUUCUAAAUGUGCUCUUGAGCAUUAUGGAGACAACCUGUGACAGCCAGAGGAAAAACAGGACUGGACAAUGGAGUCUGUGGUGUCAAGGCAGUCAUGUAAAAAAGGAGUGAGCAGUCCUGUCUCCACUCCCACCAGAGUCAUGCUUCCUGUGCUUUCAAAAGUAAACACGUUCAGAGGACACGAGUGGCAGCAAAUAAUGUAAACAGGAAUUCUCAUGGUAAUUGUACCUGUGCUCUGCUAUACUUAGAAGUGGAAGUCAAGUCAGUGUUUGGUGAAGCAAAUCUCCUGCAACCAAGAAGGAAGCAGAAACAUAAUCAACAUUCGGGUCAGUCGGUCUGCAGAGGAAAUCCGAGGUGCAGUUUCACAAUACAUUAAGUCCACAACAAUAUCAGUUCAAAAGUUCCCCUUCUGCCUGACCUUGGCCUUUUGGAAAGGGUUGGGAAGAGGAAAAGGUGUUUUAAAACCAGAUAGUUCAGUAAACUGAUCUGUAGUUUGACCUUAGAAAAACGUCUGCUCAUGCAAUUGGGAAAGUGAUACAGAGAGGAAACAAGUCUGGGCACAGAAUGAUCUCCAUGAUGGAGCCAUGUGGGCAGAGUUUGCUGCCAGAGACAGAAGGGUGUGUGAGUACAUGCCAAGAGUAAAAAAACCCCAAACAUUCAGAUAGCUAUGAGCAUGUUCUUUGAUUUCAGAUAUCUUAUUCAGUGAUAGUUGGUACAGUCAGAGUUCCUGCGCAGCCUCAUUUCUGGUGGGAUGGACUAAUUUCUUCAUGAUGAAACAGCUCUGGUGGCACCUCUGGUUGCUCCUUUCCAAGUGAUGUUGCUGUGCAAGAACCGUCUACCAAGCUUAAGAGUUUCAUGAGUUGGGACUUGUGAAAAGACACAGGGAUUUGCAUGUUAGAAGGUGGUAGCAAUAACCAUGCAGUUCAAGUUUUGCAUAUUAUGGUUAAUACCAAAUAGGACUUUGCCAUGCAGAUUUAUUGUCAGUUGCAUGUUAUUUCUUGCUUGUUUUGUGUUUUUCUUUUUGUUAGACUUACUAGAAAAAGCCCAGUGUUGACAGCCACCCUCUGCAAUAUCUACGGAUGCUUCUUUGCAGGUAAGAAUAAUAACAUUCAACAACACUGACAUCUUGUGGCUGAUGAGAAAUGACUCAGACAUGCCAGAUUAACCACAAAAGUAUCUUCUUCAAUUGUGUAUCCAGCAUCUCUUAAAAUAUGUUGGUGCUUAAAGGGAUGAGUAUCAGAAGUCUGGAAACCAAGAGGUUAAAAGGCAGAAAACACAUAAAGGUGCUAGUUGAUUAGUUGGCUGAGCGGUGUGUGUGGAUAAUCCAGCUGCAUGCUAAUCCUUUUGGCUAAUCUUCUUUGUGUGAGCGAUUCCCUCCAGAGGACAGGGAUAGAGUCUGGGAUGUUUGACAUGACAAACAGAAGCUGUUUCUCCCUGCAGAUGAUCUUCUUUGUGUUUUCCUCCUCUAUUGGGAAGCUGGGAGAGAAAAUACCUUUGGAAAAGACCCCAGGAGGAAUCUGUUUUAUCACCUAUUGUUGCUUCCAGAAAUAAAAUGAGCAAAGCCAGGCUGUGAAUGUCUGCUCCCAACCACUGGAGGUUUUUGGAAAUAGGUGUAGUAGGGAAGACUGUAUGGAAAGAUUUGUAGGAGCAAACCCUGGUUGGCAGGAAAGUUGCAAACUCUUCUACAUGCUUUGGCCAUUGAGGCUUAAACAUAACCUGUAAAAAACGGCUCUACUCUCGAAGUAUGCUUAGGAUAAGGAAAUCUAGUUUGCACUCUUAUAGAUGGUGGAGAGGUCAGAUUUCUUUUUUGGUCUAAAGAUAGAUGUUUGUGACUUUGAACAUGUGACGGUCAGCCUUGGACUUUUCAGAUGCUAGCAGCUUCUUGGAUUGCUUCCUUGUUUGCAUAUGUUUUUGUUGCUAAUGAACAUCUGUAUCCACUUUAUCAUCUGAACCCAGUGACAAAAUGAUUACUGAACAUGAAAUAAAAUGUUAUGCAAUGCUUUUCUGCAA